rnacentral:misc_RNA from 1 species
AAGUCGUAACAAGGUAACCGUAGGUGAACCUGCGGUUGGAUCAUUAAAAAAUGUUUGGUCUCGUACCAAAUGAACACUUGUGUGCACCAAAUGUCUGUCCUUGGUAGUUCGAGUUGCAUUUUGGGAACUCAACCCUCCCGAAGUGCCUACCGUUUCUCAGAUGGCCGUGUCAGACUUGUGAAAAGUUUGUUGGUGAUGAGGAUUUGCGGAUGGGACCCAUGUUUACGCGUGGGAUGCUUCCGCAAAUGCACUUUGCCAAUGGACCUCCACACGUUCGGCAGGACCAGAGUUGCGGUUGGGCUACCGACCAUGUCAAACAACUUUGUUAAUUUUUAGUCUGAACUUUUUAAGACUUGAUCUUAAAACUUUAAUGUAUUAUAUACAACUUUUGACAACGGAUCUCUUGGCUCUC